rnacentral:rRNA from 1 species
AACGCUGGCGGCGUGCUUAACACAUGCAAGUCGAACGAAAGGACGGGAAGAGCUUGCUCUUUCCGGAAUUGAGUGGCAAACGGGUGAGUAACACGUAAACAACCUGCCUUCAGGAUGGGGACAACAGACGGAAACGACUGCUAAUACCGAAUAAGUUCCAAGAGCCGCAUGGCCCAUGGAAGAAAAGGUGGCCUCUACCUGUAAGCUAUCGCCUGAAGAGGGGCUUGCGUCUGAUUAGCUGGUUGGAGGGGGUAAACGGGCCCCACCAAGGCGACGAUCAGUAGCCGGUCUGAGAGGAUGAACGGCCACACUGGAACUGAGACACGGUCCAGACUCCUACGGGAGGCAGCAGUGGGGAAUAUUGGGCAAUGGGCGAAAGCCUGACCCAGCGACGCCGCGUGAGGGAAGAAGGUCUUCGGAUUGUAAACCUUAGUUAGCAGGGAAGAAGAAAGUGACGGUACCUGCAGAGAAAGCCACGGCUAACUACGUG